rnacentral:rRNA from 1 species
UACGUAGGGUGCAAGCGUUGUCCGGAAUUAUUGGGCGUAAAGAGCUCGUAGGCGGUCUGUCGCGUCUGCUGUGAAAACUCGGGGCUUAACCCCGGCCUGCAGUGGGUACGGGCAGACUAGAGUGCGGUAGGGGAGACUGGAAUUCCUGGUGUAGCGGUGAAAAUGCGCAGAUAUCAGGAGGAACACCGGUGGCGAAGGCGGGUCUCUGGGCCGUAACUGACGCUGAGGAGCGAAAGCAUGGGGAGCGAACAGG